rnacentral:tRNA from 1 species
GCAGGCGUAGUUUAGUGGCAGAACUUCAGCUUCCCAAGCUGACUGUGCGGGUUCGAUUCCCGCCGCUUGCUCCA